GGACAGAUAACACAGAGCUAUCAGGAACAUGACCUUCUGUGUAUGACUCCAUGGCUGGGGAAGGCCCAUAAAUAGAGCUCUCCUACAGCAGGACAGAUAGAAUCAGUUCUCACCGACUGAGCGAGCCUGAUAGCCUGAUAGCCCAAAAAAAUUCUUAAAGACCAUCUUAACGACCAUCUCAGAGACUCCAUGAAAAUGAAGACACUUGCCCUCUGUGUUCUGUUUCUUCUAUCCGUGCUCUACAAUAAGGUCCACAGUGCUUCCCUGGUAAAGGUACGUAUAUAUAUAAAUAUAUUAUGCAUUUUAAUGUCAGACCAUGCCGUGAAAUUUGAGGGCUUAAAGAGAUUUUAAUUUUCAAAACCAAUUUGCUUGUGAUAAUUUUGUUGUACGAUACUAUUUAACCCCUUAAGGACACAUGACAUGUGCGACAUGUCAUGAUUCCCUUUUAUUCCAGAAGCUUGGUCCUUAAGGGGUUAAGUCACCAUCAAAAAUCAAUCUGCACAUUGGUUUAUUCAUGGCAAAAGUCUUUAUCGAUUUCUUUUUAAUUACUGUAAUUUCUUAAUCCUUGUCUGUCUUUAAUACGUCAUUAUCUUUUGUCUUAUCAGCUACCCCUAUCUCCCCUUUUCACAAACUCCCAAAAUUAAUCUAUUCACCAUCUUCCUUUACCUCACCAGUUCCUUUUUCUGUAACUCUUCAGAACUAAAUACCUACUACAUCAGACCUGUUAGAUAAUAAAUAUAAAUAUAUAAAACCACAAAGAGCUAGUAGUUUUUUGUUUUUUACCUAAAAGCUCUGUGGUGCUCAACAGUAGAUGGACAAUGUGCAAUACUGUUUAUUCAGUUCAUGUGACCUUUUUCUCAAUGUUUUUAGAUUUUUAUCAUAGAAUGGCGAUGUUACUAGUAACAGAGUAUUGUCUUCUAAUAUUUGAUAGACUGUCAGCUCGUUUUAUAAAUUAACAUAGGUUAACAGUAAUUCUCUUUUUCAUUACACAGAAUGAAAUGAUAAAUGAUGCAGACCAAGUAUCCGACCCAGAAUGGUCAGAAUCAAAUAUUAUGGUAAGUCCACAUCCGAUCUGGAAAUAUAAUUGUCUCAAAUUACAAUGCAUGUCUGAAGAUUGCUUCCAAUUUUGACAUACUUCUCUAACUUCUAAUGAUUUAAGGAAAUAAACCAUUUUCUAAGUGACGACUAUGAGAUAGAGCUAUUCAGAGUAUUUUAAAAUGUAUGACCUUCUUACGCACAUUUAUGGAUACAUGCCAAUAUUUCUAAUGGCCUAAGAUGGACUUUUUUGUGUUUGCAGUUACUCAGGUAGCCACUAGAGGUGCUUCCUAGCCCAUUGCUGGACAGUGUGCUUUGCAUGAAGUUCCUGAAUGCUCCCCACAUAGAUCCAUUGAUUUAAUUCAUCUCUAUGAGGAGAUGCUGAUUGGCACAGCAUGGCGUUUUGCCGCACAUGCGCAAUAGCCUCCCAAAGCCUUCCUAUAGGAAAGCAUUGGAUUGGCUGAGAACGUCAAAUCAGAUCAUCACAGUCACGAAGGCAGAGCAAGGCGCUAAGCUAUUCUGGCCUACAUUUCGCAAAUCUCAUGUCAGUUCUCCACAAUUCUCUGGUUUACGGAAUGACUCCCCUCUCCCUUCUCAAUUAACUUUUAGUGUGUAUGAAAUGAGGAAGAAGGGCAAUGCAUAUAUAGAUUACAUGGUAUAUCCUGUUACCAAACCCUGGGCCGAUGAAAGUUGGGACAAUAUUAAACUUGCUUCUUUCUUCUCUUUUAUCAGGAGCCCCUUCUUAGGACAAAACGUCAUUCACAUCUUUCUAUCUGCACCAUCUGCUGUAACUGCUGUAAGAAGAAAGGCUGCAACUUUUGUUGUCUAACGUGAACCCGCGGCUCUUCUCGAGAGGGGACUGAAGGAUGACACUAAAUCUUCAGAUAUGCCUUUAAAAGAAACACGGUAGCUCCAAUCUCUAGUCUCUCCGCAAGCUCUUUGCUCUGUGAUAAAGCCCGAUCGUAAACUGCAAAGGGUUAAAAGACAUGAGUAAGACUGAACUGCGCGGAAUCCAACUACUACUUUACAAACUGUGUCCUCUUAAGGUCCUUGCUCUCUGCUGCUCACUGUCUCACCUUUAUUUAUACCUGUUUUACAUUAUUAUUUCUCGAUUUUGUAUUGUAGCUUGUGUGUAAAGUUGUUUUGUAUAAUAAAUAUGUAUAUUUUUUUUCCAAGGUUCAAAUAAAUCUAUUUUAUUUAUAGAAUUACAGGAAAGGCUUCAACAAACAAGUACAGUUAAAGUGACACUGCAAUGAACAUCUAUAUUUACUUUUCUUAAUUUAACUAGAGUGAAAUCGUUUUUGAACAGAUUGCAUUUGAAUGUCAGUUUCUUUAGAAAUGAGUUGAGUUUAUAUCUGUUUCACGCAGUGAAAUCAUCAGUUUUUUUCCUUUUUUUGUAGAUUAUUUAACAAAUAUUUCAGUUUAUUUCAGUUUCUCUGGGGGUUGUCUCCAUAUCACUCAACACUGGCGUCCUGUGAAGUGGGACACCCAAAGCAGACUCUGCCUGAAAGGAUUGGCAGGUCAGCCAAGCUGCCUGUCAAUCAAGCAGGCCAAGCCAACAAGGGUGGAAAACCUAUUGCCCUAAGUGUAGCACAAGCACGUGUGAUAUGAUGCAUUCACUUUACACUUUUAGGACAGUUUCCUGGUGUCCCCAAAAGCAGGACACUAGGGAACAAAGUCAAGACUGUAGCACAGGACCAUAAAAUCUGAACUGUCUUGCCAAAUCAAGAAUGUUGGGAGGCCUGUCACUCUGAUGGUCCAACUGUGAUGUACUGUUGUAGAAUUUAGCAUUAUUAGGAUCUUGCCCCAGAACUUCUAAGCCUUUCUAAACGUUGCUUUAUUUACCAGGGCUGGGGAAGCAUUAUAAAAAAAAAAAAUUCUAGUAGUUUAACAAAAUAAAUGACUAGGUAAAUUACUGAUUUCUUACUAAAAAUAAAGUCCUAAGUUGCUUUGCGUGGGAUAUGUCAUAACAAAGGUCUGGUUUAAUAUGCACAUGAGUGGGAUUCAUGAACUACAGUGCAAUAUAAACAUAUAUGUUCCAAGUUCAACCUGUGAUUCACGAUUUCUCAAACUGUACUUGUUUGUUUGAUUAAUAAAUCUGUAAUUUUUUAAAUAUG
rnacentral:lncRNA from 1 species